CAGAGGGCCUGAAUGGCAGCAGCUGGGGCUGGGCAAAGCUGCUCCACAAGGCCCAGGAUUCCAGGGAGCAGCUGUUUCCUGGCCCUCUACUCACAGUUUUCUGCAUGGAAAUCAGGAACAAACUGCUCAUCACUGUCCGGUACCUGAGCUGCAGAGAGAGGCCAGAGGUGGGAUACAGCUGAGCACCUCUCCUGACCCCAGAGUCUUUGCCCACUUUUUGCCCCUCUCUCAAGAAUCAACAGAUCACAGAAGGAAGGGGAAGGGUAGACACCGAGAGGGACUUCCUAUCAGUCUGGGAAGAGUCUGGCUUGAAGAUGAAGCAAUGGAACCCAUGGAGAGGGGUCUUUUGUUCCCUGGAGACUGCUCUCAGAUUGGACAAUAGGAAAACUCAUGGAUAAAAUGACCGGAGAGUUGAGAAUGGCUGGUGUAAGGGUGAGGGAUAUGAGGAGACGGCUGGAGAUCACCGCCACUCGUCCUAGUCUAUACAGGACACACCCCAGUCUCUAUGGCUUCCCUCCUGGGCCAAGGCUCCAUCAUUUCUUCCUUGGAUUUCAGCCACGACAUGUUAUCAGAACUCCCAACAUCUACUCUCCUCAAAACUGUCAGAGGGAUCUUUUUACAACAGAAAUCCGAUCACUUCUCUCCCUUGCUUAAAGCAUGAACCCCAAACUCUUGCCCUUGGCCUCUGUGGCGCCCAAGUUUCUGGCUCUUGCUUACCUCUCUCACCUGCCUCUCCUUGCCUGUUACUCUCCAGAGCUCUGGUCUCCUUUUGGGUCCUCAAACUCCACCAGCUUGAACCCUCUUCCCCACAUCUUGGCCUGUUUUUCUCUGGCCUUUGAAGUGUUAGCUCACUUUGCUAUCUCAGGGGCCUUCUCUGACCACCCAAACCAAAGUGGUCUCUCCUGGCUCUCGAUCGCAUCCCUGUUUUAUUUUUUCCCUAGCACAUAUGACUACCUGAACUUAUUAAUUUAUGCACAUGUAAAUUACGUGUAAUUUAUUGUCCAUCUCCUCUACCAGAAAGUUAACCUUGCUGAGGGCAGGGGCUUUGUCUGUCUUAUUCGUCUGACUCCCCAGCACCCCUCAAACAAGGCCUCGUUCAGAAAAGACACUCAAUGCAUUAUUUGUCAACUAUAUGAAUAAACUACAAUGACUCCUUGUCCUCAGGCCGGGGAGAGCCAGCAACAUGGGCCUGGGAGCAAGAACUAAAGAGAUCCUAACCAAUCAGCCCUUCCCUCCCCUUUAGGGCUCCCCCCUCCACCACCAGGUAACAUUAGAGGCAGGUCCCCUGAAAAGCACAUCUCACAAGGGAUGCUUUAGGCUGUGAUCAAUUG